AAACAAAUCCUGGCGCCAAUCAGAGAGCAGCACUACUGAAAUAGAACUCCCAGGAGUGAGGGGCCGGUGCUGGACACUGUGUAGGGACGCGGGAAUGCAAAGUCAUACACAUGACUGUGACUGAUGCACUAUUUCCAGGACAUGGAGUAGCAUUUCCGGACCUACAGCAAGACGUUGGAUGAAGGCAUAGCCCCAGAAAUAACACUGGUCCUGUUCAUCAGUGAGGGGCCGGUGCUGGACACUGUGUAGGGACACGGGAAUGCAAAGUCAUGCACAUGACUGUGACUGAUGCAGUAUUUCCAGGACAUGGAGUAGCAUUUCGGGACCUACAGCAAGACGUUGGAUGAAGGCACAGGCCUAGGAAUCAUGCACAUACACAGAAACAUUUGCCCAAAUUAUAGAGGUAACCUCCUUUAGUAUGCCCAGAGGAAGGGCCAUACAGUAGCCAUGGAUUCCCUACAGGUUUCCUCCCCUCUGGAGGUUUUUCCUGUCCUGAGUAUUAGUUACUGUACGCUCUUUGUGAGUGAUGGGAGGUUAAAAAAAAUCCCCUACACAAACAUUUUAAUAAAUAAUAAAUAAAGUUCCCCUUUUUUUAA